AUUGAACGCUGGCGGCAGGCUUAACACAUGCAAGUCGAACGAGAUCUUCGGAUCUAGUGGCAGACGGGUGAGGAACACGUGGGAACAUCCCUUUCAGUUCGGAAUAACGUUGGGAAACUAACGCUAAUACCGGAUACGUCCUUCGGGAGAAAGAUUUAUCGCUGAAAGAUUGGCCCGCGUCUGAUUAGCUAGUUGGUGAGGUAAUGGCUCACCAAGGCUACGAUCAGUAGCUGAUCUGAGAGGAUGAUCAGCCACAUUGGGACUGAGACACGGCCCAAACUCCUACGGGAGGCAGCAGUGGGGAAUAUUGGACAAUGGGCGCAUGCCUGAUCCAGCCAUGCCGCGUGAGUGAUGACGGCCUUCGGGUUGUAAAGCUCUUUUGUCCGGGAAGAUAAUGACUGUACCGGAAGAAUAAGCCCCGGCAAACUUCGUGCCAGCCGCCGCCGUAAAAC
rnacentral:rRNA from 1 species